rnacentral:rRNA from 1 species
CCUACGGGUGGCAGCAGUGAGGAAUAUUGGUCAAUGGGCGCAAGCCUGAACCAGCCAAGUCGCGUGAGGGAAGACUGCCCUAUGGGUUGUAAACCUCUUUUAUAGGGGAGUAAAGUGCAGUAUGUAUACUGCUUUGCAUGUACCUUAUGAAUCAGGAUCGGCUAACUCCGUGCCAGCAGCCGCGGUAAUACGGAGGAUUCGAGCGUUAUCCGGAUUUAUUGGGUUUAAAGGGAGCGGAGGCGGGGUGGUAAGUCAGGUGUGAAAGUUGGCGGCUCAACCGUAGUAUUGCAGUGGAAACGGGGAUCCUUGAGUACAGUAGAGGUAGGCGGAAUUCGUGGGGUAGCGGUGAAAUGCGUAGAUAUCACGAAGAACUCCGAUGGCGAAAGCAGCCUGCUGGACUGUAACUGACGCUGAUGUUCGAAAGUGUGGGUAUCAAACAGGAUUAGAUACCCGAGUAGUC